rnacentral:rRNA from 1 species
GACGUAGGGUGCGAGCGUUAUCCGGAUUCACUGGGUUUAAAGGGUGCGUAGGAGGGCAGGUAAGUCAGUGGUGAAAUCCCCGAGCUUAACUUGGGAACUGCCGUUGAUACUAUCUGUCUUGAAUGUUGUGGAGGUGAGCGGAAUAUGUCAUGUAGCGGUGAAAUGCUUAGACAUGACAUAGAACACCAAUUGCGAAGGCAGCUCGCUACACAAUUAUUGACUCUGAUGCACGAAAGCGUGGGGAUCAAACAGG